GGUUCUCCUGUGUUCCAGUUGUGAUUGGCUUCUCUGGGUUGUAUGUUAGGUUAAUUACAAGUUAGGCAGCAUUUCGCUGUACCUGUUCUUUAUGUUUAAUCUGAUUUUUCUGUUGUUGAUUCCAAUAAGGUGUUGCUUACUCCACUUUCAGUAGGACUAGACUUUGGUAUGGUAUUUCCUUUUGUGGACAAUGUAUUAGGUUCCACAUUAAAAAUCUCAAUAUACUUGAAGCC
rnacentral:lncRNA from 1 species